GUUCGAGGCGGGGGGGUGGGCAGGAGCAGGCGCGGGCUCGUCUCUGCUCUGGCUCCCGCAUGAUGGUGGCCACGCUGGGCCCGUGGCUGCUGGCCCUAGCCUUGGCCUUGGGGUCGGCAGGAGUGUGGGCGCAGAUCAGGCUGGAGGAGACCGGCGGAGGGCUGCGAGCGCCCGGGGACUCCGUGCUCUUCUCCUGCCGCGGAUACGGCUUUAGGUUCGAGGAAUAUAACAUUCGGUGGUACCGUCAGGCACCCGGAGGCAGACUCGAGUGGGUGUCCAUCAUCAGCUUUGAUUCUUCAAUCGCUAAAUUUGUGCAGUCCAUGGAGAGUCGAGCUAACGUCUCCCGGGACAAUUCCCGGUCUGAGGCAUCUCUGUCCCUGCGUGCCCUGCAGCCUCAGGACUCUGCUCGCUACUUCUGCACCGUGUAUCUUCACACGGAGACAGGAAAAGCAGCUGAGCUUUAACAUAAACGUGCUGUGCCCGCCCGGGGUGCAAAAGCUGUGGGGCGAGUGAGUGCUGCAACAUCUAUGAGGGAAAGCUCAGGGCUGUUGGCAGGGAGUGAGGGACCAUCAGUGUUCAUCACAGGGAUUCCAGUCUUGUCUUGCACACUGAAGGAAAUAUAAUCGAUCCCAAACUAAAAAAGAGCGGGAAUGUGAGAAGCAGAAUAAA